UGCAGUCGACGGGGUUAUCCUGAAGUAGCAAUACGGAUUGAUAACUUAGUGGCGGACGGGUGAGUAACACGUAGGCAACCUGCCCUCAGGAGGGGGACAACCCAGGGAAACUUGGGCUAAUACCGCAUAAGACCACGGACUGAAAUGUCCGCGGUAAAAGGAGUAAUCCACCAGAGGAGGGGCCUGCGGCUUAUCAGGUAGUUGGUGAGGUAAUGGCUCACCAAGCCGAUGACGAGUAGCCGGUCUGAGAGGACGAACGGCCACACUGGAACUGAAACACGGUCCAUACACCUACGGGUGGCAGCAGUAGGGAAUAUUGCACAAUGGGCGAAAGCCUGAUGCAGCAACGCCGCGUGGGCGAUGAAGGCCUUCGGGUUGUAAAGCCCUUUUCUGGGGGACGAGAAAGGACGGUACCCCAGGAAUAAGUAGCGGCUGACUACGUGCCAGCAGCCGCGGUAACACGUAGGCUACAAGCGUUAUCCGGAUUCACUGGGCGUAAAGUGCGUUGAGGCGGCUCUGUAAGUUGGACGUGAAAGCCCCGGGCUUAACUCGGGGAGGCCGUUCAAUACUGCGGGGCUUGAGGGCAGCAGAGGAAGGCGGAAUUCCCGGUGUAGUGGUGAAAUGCGUAGAUAUCGGGAGGAACACCAGUGGCGAAGGCGGCUUUCUGGGCUGUCCCUGACGCUGAAGGCGAAAGCCAGGGGAGCGAACGGGAUUAGAUACCCCGGUAGUCCUGGCCGUAAACGAUGGAUGCUGGGUGUGGGAAGGGAUAAAACCUUUCCGUGCCGAAGCUAACGCGUUAAGCAUCCCGCCUGGGGACUACGGCCGCAAGGCUAAAACUCAAACGAAUUGACGGGGGCCCGCACAAGCAGCGGGAGCGUGUGGUUUAAUUCGAUGCUACACGAAGAACCUUACCU
rnacentral:rRNA from 1 species